rnacentral:tRNA from 1 species
UCUCCGGAGGCUUAGACGGUAAAGUGUCUGUCUGCAAUGCAGGAGACACAGGUUCGAUCCCUGUGUUGGGAA